UAGGGAAUCUUCGGCAAUGGGGGCAACCCUGACCGAGCAACGCCGCGUGAGUGAAGAAGGUUUUCGGAUCGUAAAGCUUUGUUGUAAGAGAAGAACGUGUGUGAGAGUGGAAAGUUCACACAGAGACGGUAACUUACCAGAAAGGGACGGCUAACUACGUGCCAGCAGCCGCGGUAAUACGUAGGUCCCGAGCGUUGUCCGGAUUUAUUGGGCGUAAAGCGAGCGCAGGCGGUUUAAUAAGUCUGAAGGUUAAGGCAGUGGCUUAACCAUUGUUCGCUUUGGAAACUGUUAAACUUGAGUGCAGAAGGGGAGAGUGGAAUUCCAUGUGUAGCGGUGAAAUGCGUAGAUAUAUGGAUGAACACCGGUGGCGAAAGCGGCUCUCUGGUCUGUAACUGACGCUGAGGCUCGAAAGCGUGGGGAUCAAGCAGG
rnacentral:rRNA from 1 species